CCUACGGGAGGCAGCAGUGGGGAAUAUUGCACAAUGGGGGGAACCCUGAUGCAGCAACGCCGCGUGGGUGAAGAAGUACUCCGGUAUGUAAAGCCCUGUCAGCAGGGAAGAAAAUGACGGUACCUGACCAAGAAGCCCCGGCUAACUACGUGCCAGCAGCCGCGGUAAUACGUAGGGGGCAAGCGUUAUCCGGAUUUACUGGGUGUAAAGGGAGCGUAGACGGCAAGGCAAGUCUGGAGUGAAAGCCCGGGGCCCAACCACGGGACUGCUUUGGAAACUGUGUUGCUGGAGUGCAGGAGGGGUAAGCGGAAUGCCUAGUGUAGCGGUGAAAUGCGUAGAUAUUAGGAGGAACACCGGUGGCGAAGGCGGCUUACUGGACUGUAACUGACGUUGAGGCUCGAAGGCGUGGGGAGCAAACAGGAUUAGAUACCCUUGUAGUC
rnacentral:rRNA from 1 species